ensembl:lncRNA
UCCCUGACACCCCUGUGCUCUCCUUCACCAGGUUCUCCUUCUCAUCCCUGACACCCCUGUGCUCUCCUUCACCAGGUUCUCCUUCACCAGGUUCUCCUUCUCUCCCUGACACCCCUGUGCUCUCCUUCACCAGGUUCUCCUUCACCAGGGUUCUCCUUCACCAGGUUCUCCUUCACCAGGUUCUCCUUCUCAUCCCUGACACCCCUGUGCUCUCCUUCACCAGGUUCUCCUUCACCAGGUUCUCCUUCUCAUCCCUGACACCCCUGUGCUCUCCUUCACCAGGCUCUCCUUCACCAGGUUCUCCUUCCCAUCCUUCUCUGUUUCAGAAGUGUGUAAAGCCCUGAAAUAAAUUGAUAGAACAGAAUCCCCUGUCCCUGAUGAACUAGACCCCUGCUUCCUACACCUGCUGCUGACAUCAUUGCUCCACCCUAUAUUUCUAACCUCACGCUUGAUGUUCAGGAAAUCCCCAAGUUAUGGAAAUCUGCUUUUGUACUGCCUCUCCUGAAAGGUGGAGAUCCUUCGCUACUUGACAACUAUCGUCCCAAAUCAAAACCGUCUGUUCUGUCAAAGGUCCUGGAGUCCUUAGUUAGUAGGUCCUGGAGUCCUUAGUUAGUAGGUCCUGGAGUCCUUAGUUAGUAGGUCCUGGAGUCCUUAGUUAGUAGGUCC